UACGUAGGGUGCGAGCGAUUAAUCGGAAUACUGGGCGUAAAGCGUGCGCAGGCGGUUCGUUGUGUCUGAUGUGAAAGCCCCGGGCUUAACCUGGGAAUGGCAUUGGAAACUGGCGAGCUGGAGUGUGGCAGGAGGGGGUGGAAUUCCGCGUGUAGCAGUGAAAUGCGUAGAGAUGCGGAGGAACACCGAUGGCGAAGGCAGCCCCCUGGGCCAACACUGACGCUCAGGCACGAAAGCGUGGGGAGCAAACAGG
rnacentral:rRNA from 1 species